rnacentral:lncRNA from 12 species
UGAAUGUGUGUGCACUGAGGUAUGAAUUGAUCACUGGCCACCAAAGUUUUUGGCUUUUUCUAACUGUAAAUAAAGGGAGAGACUUUGAAAGUUUAACUCUUUUUCCUCUUCAGGUUAAGAGUCUUAACAUCUAACAUCUUAAGAUUUGGUGGAUCUCAUUCCAGAAGAAUUUAAGAGAAGAAACAAUGAGUUCACAGGAGCUUUCAACAACUCAAGCUUGAACUCCAAACCCGUAAGAAAAAAGAAGCCAUUCAGAUCCUCUCACUGUCUGCAGUAACCAACCUUUUCAGGUAUGUAUGCAGAUUCCUAUUAAUAAAUGGAUUCCAAAUGAGUGAUUUCUGAAGGCAGAGCUGACCACGCAUCACUGUGCCCUAAUGGGAAACAGCAGCUAUUGCAGGCUGGCACGGGAUGGGGACCCAGGAUGGAGCCAUCAGCUGAGCCGUGACAUGAUUACAGUCUCCCAGACUUCUGGUCCAACAUUUCAUCCAGAAUAAAGCAUGCAUGAGUUUUUACCACCUCCCUGAAUAGCAAUCAAAUUAAGUGUGACUAAUCAGUGAAGUGCUAGUCGAGAG